GUGCUCGCUUUGGCAGUACAUAUACUAAAACUGGAAUAAUACAGAGAAGAUGAGCAUGGCUCCCGUGCAAGUAUGACAGGCAAAUUCAUGAAGCAUUCCAAAUUUUU